rnacentral:rRNA from 1 species
CAGCAGCCACGGGAAUACGGAGAGUGCGAGCGUUAAUCGGGAUUACUGGGCGUAAAGCGUGCGUAGGUGGUUGUAUAAGUUAUCUGUGAAAUUCCUGGGCUCAACCUGGGUAGGUCAGAUAAUACUGUAUGACUCGAGUAUGGGAGAGGGUAGUGGAAUUUCCGGUGUAGCGGUGAAAUGCGUAGAUAUCGGAAGGAACACCUGAGGCGAAAGCGGCUCACUGGACCAUAACUGACGCUGAGGCGCGAAAGCUAGGGGAGCAAACAGGAUUAGAGACCCCAGUAGUCCCUGUCUCUUAUAC